rnacentral:lncRNA from 1 species
GCUCCGGCUCCUCAGAGAGCCUCGGCUAGGUGUGGAAACAGGAAGAGAACUAGAACUGGAAGUAAAGCAUUGAAGAUGUGACUGAAUUGCUGCAAUCUCAUGAUCAAAUUUGAAUGGAUGAGGAGUUGCUUUUUAGGGAUGAGCAAAGAAAGUGGUUUCUCGAGAUGGAAUCUACUGGUGAAGUUGCUGUGAACAUUGUUAAAAUGCCAAUAAAGGAUUUAGGAAUUACAGAAACCUGGUUGAUAAAGCAGUGCCAGGGUGUGAGAGAGUUGACUUCAAUUUUGAAAUAAGUUCCACUGGCUGGGUGUGGUGGCUCACACCUGCAAUCCCAGUACUUUAGGAGGCCGAGACUGGUAGAUCAUUUGAGGUCAGGAGUUCAAGACCAGCCUUGCCAACAUGGUGAAACCCCACCUCUACCAAAUUAGCCAGGUGUGGUGCACACCUGUAGUCCCAGCUACUUGGGAAGCUGAGGCAGGAGAAUCUCUUGAACCAGGGAGGAGGAGGUUGCAGUAAGCCGAGAUGGCGCCCCUGCACUCCAGCCUGGGUGACAGAGUGAGACCUUGCGUUUAAAAAAAAAAAAAAAGGAAAAGGAAAAAAAAGUUCUACUGUGGGUAAAAUGCUAUCAUGCUAUCAAACAGCAUCACAUGCUACAGAGAAGUCUUGUGAAAGGAUGUCAGUGUGGCAAACUUCAUUGUCUUUUAAGAAAUUGCCACAGCUAUCGUAAUCUUCAACCACCACCACCCUGAUGAGUCAGUAGCCAUCGUUAACGUUGGCGUAAGACCCUCCACCAGCAAAAAGAUUGUUAGCAUUUUUUUAGCAGUGAUGUAUUUAUCAAUUAUACAUAAUGCUAUUGUACACUUCUUAAUAGACUAUGGUAUAGUGUAACCAUAAUUUAUGCACUGGGAAACCAACAAAUUCAUGAGAUUCGCUUUAUUGUAGUGCUCUGGAAUUGAGCCUGCCGUGUUUCUGAGGUUGCUCCUUGAGGGCAGGACAGUUCUUAUGGCUUUAUCCGUUGCGUAAGCACAGAGAGGUCUGCGAGGUCAAAACUAUUGUCAUGAUAGCAAGAUGCCUGUCUUUUUCAUUUAUUCUCACGGUGUGCAGAGGCUACAUGAUGUGUGAUGACAUCCUCAUUGAUGUUAAUGAAUGGUGCUAUACUUGAAUUUUCUAAGGUGUCAUUAGAUGAGGUCUUGCUGUGUUGCCCAGGCUAUUCACAGCUGCCAUCAUAGUGAACUACAGCCUGAAACUCCUGGGUUCAAGAGAUCCUUCUGCCUCAGCCUCCUGAGUAGCUGGAACUAUAGGCAUGCGCCACCAAGCCUGGGCUUUUAAAAAAAUUUUAAAAAGAAUUUUGAGACAGGAUCUUGCCAUGUUGCUCAGGCUAGUCUUCAACUCCUAGCCCUGAGUGAUCUUGCUUUGGGCCUCUCAAAAUGUUGAGUUAAUAGGCGUGAGCCACCAUACCCAGCCAAAAAUUUUUUUAGAGAUGGGAAUGGAAUGAUCUUGAAUAGUGUUGGUGCCACCUAUGUUGUGGCAUCAUUUUGAAACCAAUCAUUCAGAGUGCUUUUUUUGGUAAGGCAUUAUUUUUUAAUGCAGGUAUGCCACUACUGGGAAAAAAAAAAAAACAGGUUUUAAAGCUAGAAAUGAAAAGCUACUUAAGUAUCUUAAAGGAUAAGUUACUUUAUUAUACACUAGAAACAUACACAAUAGCUGAAAAACUUAAAAAAUCUCACACUGCUGAAUGUCUCUGCUGGCUGAAGUGUAAGUAAAAGAUCAUAGUAGUGCCGCUGUUGAGUGAUAAAGCAACUUGUCAUUAAAGAUGUGUGUGCAGACAUGGAUUCUGAGUUAAUAUCUCAUCUGUAGAAGUAUAUAUUUGUCCCUUGCUUUGGGAUUGGUUUCUGGACAGCACUCCCCCACCCUUGCUGGCCAUUUGCCAAGGACACCAAAACCCAAGGAUGUUGAAUUCCCUUUUAUAAAAUGGCGCUGUAUCUGCAUACAACUUACACACAUCCUCCCAUAUACUUUAAAUCAUUUCCAGAUUUCUUAUACUUCAUACAAUGUGAAUGCUAUAUAAAUAGUUGUUACAUUGUGUACUUAUAUUUGUACUAU